rnacentral:miRNA from 1 species
UGGGUCACCCCCUCUCCGCCCCCCGACCCUCGUUAACCCUCCACGCUGGGCGGAUAGGAAGGGCUGGAUGCCUGCUG